rnacentral:lncRNA from 1 species
GUCCUGUCCCCCAAACGUGUCCGAUUCCCCUAAACGUGUAUAAUCUCCCGAAACGUGUCCGUAAUAUCCAAUAUUCCCCAAAUGUGUCCCAUUUUAUAACCCCCAAACGUGUCCGAUAAUUGUUAUUCGCCAAAACGUGUCCACUAUUAAACGCCAGGACGUCUCACGUCUUUUAGCGCUAAUACAUGAAUAAAACCAAUAACGUUUACGGCAACUCUAUAAUGGGGGGCACAGUUGAUGAAGUGGUCAUUUAUUAGUUUUAGUUGGUUCAAUGCCGGUUGUUAUUGCAAAUUUAACCUGUAACAUAUAAAUCAACUUUUGACUGAAAUUGCUUAUAUUCCAGUUGCAAGUUUUAUGCUCUUUUAGAGCGCACAUUCAUGUACAAACAAUUCUAGUUCAGUUGAAUAAAUCGUUUACUAUGCAAUUAUUCUGUACUAAUAAACUCCGAUGAUGCCUUUUAUAUUACAGCUAAUUUCCUACUGCAUGUAGAACAAAACUUAGGUUAGAUUGCUUGCUAGGUUUUUAUAUUGUACAAUCCAAAGGAUAACACCCAAUUAAAUUCAAAUAUGAUAUAUUCAGGUUAAACAAUGCCUAUAUAUAUUGUUUAAAGAUGUCAAUCUUAUUUACAAAGCUUGUAUUAACAAUUAUACAAACAAUGCAAGCAAGCCUAACAAAGUUUUACUUUGAAAGCAUUAGGAAAUCAGCUGCAAUCCGCGAAUACUGCACGGCGGGCUUUUAAAAGGAUUGACUUUCUUUUUUUUUCAACAGUUCUGAUAUUUUAUUAUCAUACCGGGGAUUUAGGAUUGUUUUAAAUUUGUUUACGAUUAUUCGGGAUUAACAUUAGUUAAACUUAAAAAUCCAAAAUGCCAGUAAAGACCGAUUUUUUCAUAAUUUCACUAAGAAACUUAAUUUGAUUCUCUCAAAAAAUAGAAAAAAAA